rnacentral:rRNA from 1 species
GAUGAACGCUGGCGGCGUGCUUAACACAUGCCAGUCGAACGGAAAGGCCCAAGCUUGCUUGGGUACUCGAGUGGCGAACGGGUGAGUAACACGUGGGUGAUCUGCCCUGCACUUCGGGAUAAGCCUGGGAAACUGGGUCUAAUACCGGAUAGGACCACAUUUUGGAUGGUGUGGUGGAAAGUUUUUCGGUGUGGGAUGAGCUCGCGGCCUAUCAGCUUGUUGGUGGGGUAAUGGCCUACCAAGGCGUCGACGGGUAGCCGGCCUGAGAGGGUGUACGGCCACAUUGGGACUGAGAUACGGCCCAGACUCCUACGGGAGGCAGCAGUGGGGAAUAUUGCACAAUGGGCGCAAGCCUGAUGCAGCGACGCCGCGUGGGGGAUGACGGCCUUCGGGUUGUAAACUCCUUUCGCUAGGGACGAAGCGUUAUGUGACGGUACCUGGAGAAGAAGCACCGGCUAACUACGU